AUUUUUCAACUUUUUAUAUAACACUAGAAUUAAAGAGAGAAAUAUCAUAUACUUUGAAGGGGAGGUAAUCAAUCUUCUCGCUUAACUUUUUUUGUGUUGAUUCUUUUUUUUAUUAUAGUCCUAUGAAUAUUUUCUUCAGUAGUUGGUAUAAUUUAUUCAACUAUCUAAGAUAAUAUUAAAUUUAUAAGCUAAAUUAAAAUGUUGAUUAGUUCAAGGGAAAAAGCACAAGUAAGUCACAAUGCUUUACAAAGGGAAAUAACUCCAAUGUCAAUCAAAAAUCCAUAUACCUACCUCUGUUGGAAGCAGUUCAGUUGUAUUUUAACUUCUUAUAUAUUAGUAGUGCAUGGAAUUUAAUAUUUAAUACUCAAAACAUCAAUUAAGAUAUCUGGUUGUGGUUAUAUUGUCAGGUAAUGGUAAUUCUUCUAUGUUUUCUAAAAUGUUGGAAAGCUUAACAAAUUAGUAUUCUAUCUAUCCACAUGCAUGUUAAAAAAACAUAUUUUUUUACCUAAUAUUACUGUUGUAUAUAAAAUUUUUGGUAUAAUGUAUUGCAACCUUUGUUGCUGUCGAUGAAAUACAUUGUGAACACAGAUAUUAAUAUAUCUUUGCAGUGAAACUUCAUUAUACUUUAUAAUAAAUAAUUAAAAUAAUUGAGCAUCGUAAAAUAUUUUCUUAUUAUGAAGAGAUGUAAAAACAGGUGUCUACUUUGUUUUGCAGCCAUUUCCUUAUAAAAUGAAAG
rnacentral:lncRNA from 1 species